ensembl:lncRNA
AGGGACACCAAUAGGGCAUCCCAUAAGCAGGUUGGACCAUGAACAUCCAUGGAGCAUCUUGCUCAAUAAUUGAUGUGGGAAGGCUCAGCCCACUGUGGGCGGUGCCACUCCUGAGCAGGUCGUCCUGGGUUACAUAAGAAAGCAAGCUGAGCAAGCCAUGAAAAAGCAAGCCAGUAAGCAGUGUUCCUCCAUUGGUUUCUGCUUCAACUCCUACCUGAGAUUCCUUCAGUAAUGAUCAUGAACCAUAACCUUUAAGGAGUCCUGUGGCCGGUGCUUCCAGUUUCACAACUAUCAGGAAGGUUGGCUUGCUGUCCUUGUAUCCCAUAGCGGUCUGUUCUCUGGGGCUGAUGUCUGGGUUCCAGGGCAGAUCAGCACAGGAUCUUGGCUCGUGACUGAGGUAGACUCUGCCCUUAGCCUUAGAGCUGCACGUGUGUAGGGGACCAUGUUGGAGAAAGCCUUUCCUGAAAUUACCAAGAAAAAGUUAUUUCUCCCUGUUCAGAGGUAGAUCAGCUGCCAGAGCCUUCUGAACCUGCCAAGGACCAUGAUUGGCUGAGAUCAACUCAGGACUCAUCUUCUUGGUGCUGGAGAGGAAGUCACCCUGAGGAUGUACACACAUGGAGAAGGAACUGUGAGCAAUUGGGACUUUGCCAGUAAUAACUGCUGAGGCAAGAAUGGCUGAUGGAUUGUGUAUGGCAGGAUAGGAAGAGCUGUGCUGACAGUAAACCUUGCUACCCGAGUGGCUUAGCACAGCACAUUAAUUCCACAUACAGAGUCUGAGGAAUGCUAGGUAGAAUCUGUUACCCAGCUGGUGACUGGGGCUCUUGCUCCUCUUGGUCCUGCUCUUUGUGAAUCUCCCAGGUCUCCUGUGGCCUCUCAGGUCUCCAUAUGACCUCCCAGGUCUCAUGUGACUUCUUGGGUCUCCAUGUGACUUCUUUGGUCUCCAUGUAUGUGGUCUUCAAGUUCUCCAUAGCAAUGGUAGAAUAUUUAGUUUAUUUUAACAGAUUAUUUCCUUUUAUAUUUUGUAUCUGUGUCUGCCUGUGUGUGUCUGUGGUGACCAUGUCCACAUGAGUGCAGGUGCCCGUGCAUUCAUGGAGGCCAGCAGAGGGCAUAGGAUCCCCUAGAGCUGCUGUGGUAGGAGGCUAUGACCUGCCUGCUACAGGAGCUGAGAACAGAGCUUGGCUUCCCUGCAAGAGUAGUAUUUGCUCUUAACGACCGAGGUAUCCCUUCAGCCUGGAAUCGUAAAUUGCCCAGGAGUGACACAGUUCACGUUUGUCAUUAUGCAUCUGUUAGACAUAGUCCAGUGGCUCCAACCUAACUCAGGGGCUGAUUGUGUGGUAUUAGUGGCCACUUGAGAAUCUCUUGAACAUUGACUGUUUUUCCAUAGCAGGCAAUCAAGAUGCAGAGGCGAUAAAUAAAUCAACAAACAAGCAAGCAAAUAAGUAUAUAAAGGGGAGCUGAACCUAGGGUAACUAAAGGAUGCUGUUAGCAUUGCAAACACUUGCUGGCUGUGUGUGAGACCCUGCUUCCCAUCUUAUUGGACUCUCACUGUGUCUGCUCUGGAGAUGAAACUAGGUGACUUGUUCUUUGAGAGACCACUGACCCUGCCAGCUGCAUGGACCUCUGCUCUAUACACUGCUGUCUGAUUGCCUAAGAAGUUUUACAGCCAGACAAGGCAACCUUCUGAUGGACAGAAGGUCACACGGUGGUAUUUUCCUCCUUGCUUGUUUGAAAAAGACUUGAAAGACACUACUCAGUGUUUCAACUGGCAAUUCAAUAUACAGGGGCUUUCUAAACAUGCCGAUGCCAUUGUCUUUCCAUAGUUGGAUUGUUUUCUUGUAUUUUCAAAAAAAUACAUACUGGUGUGAACUAUAGUUGCAGGGGGGAGUCACACCUGUGUUAAAGGUUCUACAAGGCUGAAGGAUUGAAAUGUGUGAUUGUGGAGAAUUAAAAUGUUCUAAGCCAGAGCCAAAUUAUCUUGGGUUAAUUUUAGUCCCUUGGAACGUCUUCAUUGCUGAGUUCUACAUCUGGCCUAACAUCCAGAGGCUACCAAAAUAUUUCAAAUGUGUUCUUGAUAAAUUACUCACAUCUGAGACCUAAAGCAGAUUUCCCCACUUUGAUAGAAACCUGCCCAGCUGUGGUUCCCACCAGUGCAUUGGUAAAUCCCUUGACUUAUUACUUCCUUUGUUCUGUAACUACUUCAUAAUGGAACAUGGUAUUUGAGGCAGCCUGAUUCUGUUUCCCCAGGUCAUGGUCACUCAUAUCUGGCACUAGAAUAAACAACUAUGUUACUUAUUUUAAGAUGAAAGCUGAAUAUUUCCAUACUUUUCUUUCUGCUCUUAUGAUAUCUCCUUUUUCAUGUGACCCUCCUGGGAAGUCAACAAAGAAAGCUUAAAAGAGUACAUCUUUUUAUUUUGUUCUUUGUACCCCACUUCAAUUCCUUUGAGGGUGAUCUUCAGGCUCGGAUUCAGGCCUACCUUAGGUAGAGCACUGCCCCUGACUCUGCUGGUCUUAGUGGGAUUGCCCACUGGGGUGUGAUGGAUUUAGCAUUAUCACGGGUUCCAGUUCUGCACCUGUGAGCGGAGGAACACAGAUGCUCUUGGUUUUGUAUCAGCUGCCAGGGCAAUCGCUCUUCAGUGGAGAGUGGAAGCAGAGAUGGCAUCUAGACGGAAGACACCAUCUUCAAGGGACCUUCGUCAUAUUGAUUCACUUCAGUCUUGACCUUUGGCUCUGUCUUACUUUUUUCCCCUAAUGGUUUCAUCCACAAAGGUGAUGCAUUUUUAAGGUGUAUCGAUGUGUGGUGAGUUUAAGGGGUCCUUGUGAAGUCUGUUAGGCUUGCUGACAACUACGGAGGCUGAAGCAUGGCCGUGGGCAUGCUCUGAAAAGGAGGCUGGUGAUUGGGUUGCUGUUGAGUGAACUGCAGAAUAUUCUUGAAAAAUAGUUUCCCCCUCCCAUCUUGUGACACCGAAGUAGGCAGACAAGCAUGUCCAAAGGCAAGUUAUAAGAAAGAUUAAAAAUUUAUGAGUGGUUUUGCCUCAUUUUUGUACUUAUUCUUAAUAGAUUUUUCCUUUUUAAUACUGUAUGUUGUCUUCAUUUCCUUUCAUCUUUUGAGUAAGAGCACAAUGAAAUGGCCUGCAGACUUGUGAGAUGGAUUUUGUGAACCACUAGCCCAUUUCAUCAACAGGGAACUGCAAAAUAAUUGAAAGAAAUGGCCUUGGAUCUGGUUCAACCUGUUAGAAGUGGGUACACAAUUGAGAAAAAUGGAAAAUGAUACUUAAUUAUGGACAUGUUCCCUGGAAGACCAGAUUCUGUGGAGCCCCAAUGUUUAUACAUUAAUAGCAUCCAUGUGUUCAUUGACUGAGCAAAUAAUUCUACCACAUGAUUGACAUGGCUUUAGAUACGAAUGUUUAAGGAUACUUCAAAAAUGAUUUCUUUCAGUGAAAUAGUCAGUCGGAUAGGAUCAUAUAUAAAAUAACUGUCUUAGUAGUGUAAUGUGAAAGUAUAGAGUGUCCCAGGAACAAUAUUGAACAAAGGAAAUGCAUCUGUAUAGUGCUAUCUAUCUUAUUAUAAGAGAUUGUGGGGAAGCCAGGUGUGUUGGUCCACGCCUUUAAUCCCACCACUAGGGAGGCAGAAGCAGAUGGAUUCUGAGUUUCAGGCUAUCAACUUGGUCUAUAUUGUGAGUUCCAGGAGAGCCAGGGCUUCCUAGUAAGGACCUCUUUCCUAUUAUACAUAGCAGAGGAAUAUGUUGUUUUCUCCUCAGGAUUCUACUGUCGAGGAUUUCUGUAUCACUAUAAAUGACAGGAAAAUUCUACAAGGGGCAUUUUCUUCCCUCCCUUCUACGUUCCUACAGAGUAGAUCCAUGCUACAGUCCUCUACUGUGGCAAUCCAGGAGGCAGCAUUAACAGUUCUCUACUCUGACCAGCUAAAGUGGAAAAUAAAAGUAUCCAACUGAGGAAUUUGAAGAGCACUGGGCAAAUGAGACAUAUGAAGAAAAAUGAGGAAUCAUCCAGAAAAAAUGUCCCGAGAUAAAGAAUAAAUUCACCUAAUGAUACAGCACACUUCCAAUAGGAUAAAAUCCUCAUAAAUCUUCUCAGAUGUUUGUUUCUACUGUUUUCUGUAGACAUAUAAAUUAAAUGGUCUUUUUGUCAUCCUAAUUCAACUAAAAAUUAAAGCUUGCCCUGGAGUGGAGUGUGGCUCUCUCCUUCUCUAAAUUCAAGCAUACCUGUUAAAGAAAAAUUAAAAAUCUCCAUCUUAUGUUGGAAAAGCCACUUGGUAUGGGGCAGAAGAAAAACCAAAAUUAAGGUUCUAUUCUAUUGCCACUAAUUUCAUAAUCCUUUGGUCUUAUUUCAAUUCUUUAAAACGUUUCUUAAGGUAUAAAUAUCUCAAUACAUACACACAUAUCUUCUGUUGUAAUAUUGAUGGUCAUAUAAAGUACUAACUAAUUAUAGAAAUAGGCUUUAUCUAGCUUCCUGUACAUGAUGUCAGGCUUGAGUCUGAAGCAGGUAAUU